GAUGAGCGCUAGCUACAGGCUUAACACAUGCAAGUCGAGGGGCAGCAUGGUCUUAGCUUGCUAAGGCCGAUGGCGACCGGCGCACGGGUGAGUAACACGUAUCCAACCUGCCGUCUACUCUUGGACAGCCUUCUGAAAGGAAGAUUAAUACAAGAUGGCAUCAUGAGUCCGCAUGUUCACAUGAUUAAAGGUAUUCCGGUAGACGAUGGGGAUGCGUUCCAUUAGAUAGUAGGCGGGGUAACGGCCCACCUAGUCUUCGAUGGAUAGGGGUUCUGAGAGGAAGGUCCCCCACAUUGGAACUGAGACACGGUCCAAACUCCUACGGGAGGCAGCAGUGAGGAAUAUUGGUCAAUGGGCGCAGGCCUGAACCAGCCAAGUAGCGUGAAGGAUGACUGCCCUAUGGGUUGUAAACUUCUUUUAUAAAGGAAUAAAGUCGGGUAUGUAUACCCGUUUGCAUGUACUUUAUGAAUAAGGAUCGGCUAACUCCGUG
rnacentral:rRNA from 1 species